rnacentral:rRNA from 3 species
GACGAACCGUCCUAACGUUGUUCGGAAUCACUGGGCUUAAAGGGCGCGUAGGCGGGUUCCCAAGUCGGUGGUGAAAUCUUUCGGCCCAACCGGAAAACAGCCGCCGAUACUGGGAGUCUUGAGGGAGGUAGGGGUCGAUGGAACUUCCGGUGGAGCGGUGAAAUGCGUAGAUAUCGGAAGGAACGCCGGUGGCGAAAGCGAUCGACUGGACCUUUUCUGACGCUGAGGCGCGAAAGCCAGGGGAGCAAACGGG